GCUAUCAGUAUGCUACCAACGUCCAGAAGAGGACACCGGACGGCUUAUGAAAGCAUUGUUUCGGACACAAGUAAAAGGAGAAGAAUGCUGCUCAGCUGGGUCGGCGAAGCUCUUGGAUAUCAUCUGCAUCUAUGAAGGCACCGGUAGGCACAGAGUCAUUCCGGUAGGCACGGAGUCGUUCCUCGAUGGACGUGAUGACCUGGCACCAAAACCGCUUAAUGUGUAUGAAGCUGUCUGCAUCGAGGGAAGAACCCAGUACUGAAAUGACACAAGUAAAAGGAGAAGAAUGCUGCUCAGCUGGGUCGGCGGUCACACUACUUAUUCAAGAACCUCUUGGAUAUCAUUGGCAUGUAUGCAGCACAGAGUCAUUCCAGUAGGCACGGAGUCGUUCCACGAUGGACGUGAUGACCUGGCACCAAAACCGCUUAAUGUGUAUGAAGCUGUCUGCAUCGAGGGAAGAACCCAGCACUGAAGUGACACAAAUGAAAGAAGGGGACUUCUGCUCUGCUGGGUCUGCGACACUACUUAUCUGAGGAGUCCUCAAACAUCAGGAUGUAGGAA